rnacentral:rRNA from 1 species
UACGAAGGAUGCAAGCGUUAUCCGGAUUUAUUGGGUUUAAAGGGUGCGUAGGCUGGACUUAUAAGUCAGUGGUGAAAUCUCGAUGCUUAACAUCGAACGUGCCAUUGAUACUGUAGGUCUUGAGUACAGAUGCCGUUGGCGGAAUGUGUCAUGUAGCGGUGAAAUGCAUAGAUAUGACACAGAACACCGAUUGCGAAGGCAGCUGACGAAACUGUAACUGAC